rnacentral:rRNA from 1 species
UUCCAGACUCCUACGGGAGGCAGCAGUGAGGAAUAUUGGUCAAUGGGCGGAAGCCUGAACCAGCCAAGUCGCGUGAGGGAUUAAGGCCCUAUGGGUCGUAAACCUCUUUUGUCAGGGAGCAAUGGCGUCCACGUGUGGGCGUAUGGAGAGUACCUGAAGAAAAAGCAUCGGCUAACUCCGUGCCAGCAGCCGCGGUAAUACGGAGGAUGCGAGCGUUAUCCGGAUUUAUUGGGUUUAAAGGGUGCGCAGGCGGAGGUGCAAGUCAGCGGUCAAAUUGCGGGGCUCAACCCCGUACUGCCGUUGAAACUGCAUCCCUUGAGUGAGUGAGAGGUAAGCGGAAUGCGUGGUGUAGCGGUGAAAUGCAUAGAUAUCACGCAGAACGCCGAUUGCGAAGGCAGCUUACCGGCGCUCAACUGACGCUGAGGCACGAAAGUGCGGGUAUCGAACAGGAUUAGAUACCCUGGUA